AAAAUACAUCAUAAUAAAUAAACAAAAACAAUUAAAACAAUUCAUUAAUUUCUUAAUAUGUGUAUAUGUAAAAUAACCUGCACACACCAAGUUCCUAAACCACUGUCAUCUCCAUCUCCAUCUCCAUCUCCACCAUCACCACAACCACCAUCCCACCACCACCUCAACCCUCCGGCAACCACGUGCACCACCACCAUCUUUACAACAAUCACAAUCAACCAUCAGCAUUAUAACAAACCCCAAUUUCAAAUUAGGGCUUCAAAAAAAAAAAAAAAAAAAAAAAAAAAAACCUUAUCCAAAAUUAGGGCUUUGCAAAUAAAGGAAAUUGAUGGUGGUGGUGCUUGUGUUUAGGUCUACAGAAACAAUCUGCUGACGCUCGAGCCUCCUCUUUCCUUAGAAUUCUCGAAAUCAUAUCAGAAUUGAUGCAACCUCCAGUCAUGAUCUUUGUUGAGAACGUUGUCGGAUUUGAGACUUCCGAUACACACCAAAAGAUGAUUCAGAUACUCAAUGAAAGCCAAUUUGUGACACAAGAAUUCAUAUUCCCUUGCAAUUCGGAGUAUCGUACUCGCGUCCCCGUUACUUUUGCCUGGCGAAAAGAAAACCGUCAUCUUUCUACAACCCGGAAUUCAACGGACAGCUUAUCACAAACCCCAAUUUCAAAACUAGGGGCUUCAAAAAAAACACAACCUUACCCAAAAUUGGGACUUUGCAAAUAAAGGAAACUGAUGGUGGUGGUGCACGUGAUUGCCGGAGGGUUGAGGUGGUGGUGGGAUGGUGGUGGUGGUGAUGGUGGAGAUGGAGAUGGAGAUGACAGUGGUUUAGGAACUUGGUGUGUACAGGUUAUUUUAGGCCCAUUCUAUACACACCCCCCUCCUUCCUGAUUACACCCCCUAUUGUGAGAGGAAAACUGUCGGUCCCACGCAGGCCCCACCUGUAAGUAUGUGAGAGGAGGGGGGUGAAAAAAGUAAAUAGGGGGGGGUGUAGAAAGUAGCACCCAUAUUACACAUAUUAAGAAAUUAAUGAAUUGUUUUAAUUGUUUUCGUUUAUUUAUUUUAAUGUA